rnacentral:tRNA from 1 species
GAUAUAGCUCAGUUGGUAGAGUGUUUGCCUCAAAUGCACAAGGCCCUGGGUUCAAUCCCCAGCAUAUCA